GUCGGGAAUUUUGGGCAAUGGGGGAAACCCUGACCCAGCAACGCCGCGUGAGGGAUGAAGGCCCUCGGGUCGUAAACCUCUGUCGGAAGGGAAGAAAGGCCUCCGUUCGAACAGGGCGGGGGCUCGACGGUACCUUCAAAGGAAGCACCGGCUAACUCCGUGCCAGCAGCCGCGGUAAUACGGAGGGUGCAAGCGUUGUUCGGAAUCACUGGGCGUAAAGCGCGUGUAGGCGGCUUGGCAAGUCGAGUGUGAAAUCCCAGGGCUCAACCCUGGAACUGCACCCGAAACUGCCUCGCUGGAGUCCCGGAGAGGGUGGCGGAAUUUCCGGUGUAGAGGUGAAAUUCGUAGAUACCGGAAGGAACACCAGUGGCGAAGGCGGCCACCUGGACGGUGACUGACGCUGAGACGCGAAAGCGUGGGGAGCAAACAGGAUUAGAAACCCGAGUAGUCC
rnacentral:rRNA from 1 species